CUUUGGGGACAUGGAGGCCACCUCCUUGGGGACAUUAUGUCUUGACUCUUGAGGACAUGGAGGCCACCUCCUUGGGGACAUUAUGUCUUGACUCUUGAGGACAUGGAGGCCACCUCCAUGGGGACAUGGAGGCCACCUCCUUGGGGAUGUAGAGGCCACCUCCUUGGGGAUGUAGAGGCCACCUCCUUGGGGACGUGGCAUCUUGACUCUUGGGGAGGUGGAGGCCAGCUCCAUGGGGACGUGGAGGCUACUUUGGGGAUGUGGAGGCCACCUCCUUGGGGACCUGGCAUCUUGACUCUUGAGGACAUGGAGGCCACCUCCUCAGGAAUGUGGAGGCCACCUCCUUGGGGACGUGGUGUCUUGACUCUUGGGGAUGUAGAGGCCACCUCCUUGGGGUCAUGGAGGCCACUUCUUUGGGGACGUGGAGGCCA
rnacentral:lncRNA from 1 species